rnacentral:rRNA from 1 species
CAGUCGCCGCGGUAAUACAGAGGGUGCGAGCGUUAAUCGGAUUUACUGGGCGUAAAGCGUGCGUAGGCGGCUUCUUAAGUCGGAUGUGAAAUCCCUGAGCUUAACUUAGGAAUUGCAUUCGAUACUGGGAAGCUAGAGUAUGGGAGAGGAUGGUAGAAUUCCAGGUGUAGCGGUGAAAUGCGUAGAGAUCUGGAGGAAUACCGAUGGCGAAGGCAGCCAUCUGGCCUAAUACUGACGCUGAGGUACGAAAGCAUGGGGAGCAAACAGGAUUAGAUACCCCGGUAGUCCCUGUCUCUUAUCA